rnacentral:rRNA from 1 species
UACGAAGGGGGCUAGCGUUGUUCGGAUUUACUGGGCGUAAAGCGCACGUAGGCGGUUUGUUAAGUCAGGGGUGAAAUCCCAGAGCUCAACUCUGGAACUGCCUUUGAUACUGGCAAGCUAGAGUCCGGAAGAGGUAAGUGGAACUCCUAGUGUAGAGGUGGAAUUCGUAGAUAUUCGCAAGAACACCAGUGGCGAAGGCGGCUCACUGGCCCGGUACUGACGCUGAGGUGCGAAAGCGUGGGGAGCAAACAGG